UUCCCUUGUGUCAGUCACUGCUGAAUCCGCUGUAUGAGGGCAGUCUGCCUCCUGUGUAUGUCAUUACGCUGCUGAUGGGCGUCUGGGCGUUCUUCUCAUCUGGAGGAUCACUACACAGCCUCAAUGCUCUCUGCACACGCAGGAAAGCUGAGGGGGAAUCUUCAUAAGAUGGUUUUUGUCAUGCCUAGCGAGAUCUAGGACGACAGAUGGGCUGAGCCUGCUGCUCGAGUGAAUGGCAGCGCUUUGUGAAGAGCACAAUCACCAGCUCAGACCCCGAGGGGAUCCAGACACGUCCCCUCCAGCAUCAGCCAUCUCUACGGGGCCAACGGCCAUCAGGCUGUCACAGAAACACUGUAAAUAGCUUGAUCUGAAUGCAAAUCAAUAAGACAGAUCUCUAAUAUUAUUCUGUUUUAAAAGCAUCAUUGUCCAGCUCUUCUUGUAAAUGUUUGUGGUUUUGAGUUUUAUUUGCUGAUGUCCUGUACGUUCUGACCGAAGCCGCUUUAAGGGGACGAGCGAUCAAACAGAGCACCAGUUUCACCCUCUUUUACUCAUGUUAUCAUUAUUACGCACAUACAUGUAUAAAGUCCAGAGCAUUUCCAUUUACUGUCAUUAAAACCCUGAAGAGUUUUCAUAA